rnacentral:rRNA from 1 species
UACGUAGGGGGCAAGCGUUGUCCGGAAUCAUUGGGCGUAAAGAGCGUGUAGGCGGCCAGAUAAGUCCGCUGUGAAAUCUCGAGGCUCAACUUCGAGCUGUCGGUGGAAACUGUCUGGCUAGAGUCCGGAAGGGGCGAGUGGAAUUCCUGGUGUAGCGGUGAAAUGCGCAGAUAUCAGGAGGAACACCAAUGGCGAAGGCAGCUCGCUGGGACGGUACUGACGCUGAGGCGCGAAAGCGUGGGGAGCGAACAGG